AAUCAACGCUGGCGGCGUGCCUAACACAUGCAAGUCGAACGCGAAAGUCCCGCAAGGGAUCAGUAGAGUGGCAAACGGGUGAGUAACACGUGGGUGACCUGCCUUCGAGCGGGGGAUAACGUCCCGAAAGGGACGCUAAUACCGCAUGACAUCCUGCCUUUGAAGAGGCGGAGAUCAAAGCUGGGGAUCGCAAGACCUAGCACUCGGAAGGGGGCCC
rnacentral:rRNA from 1 species